CGCGUGAGGAACCUGCCUUGGAGAGGGGAAUAACACUCCGAAAGGAGUGCUAAUACCGCAUAAUGCAGUUGGGUCGCAUGGCUCUGACUGCCAAAGAUUUAUCGCUCUGAGAUGGCCUCGCGUCUGACUAGCUAGUAGGCGGGGUAACGGCCCACCUAGGCGACGAUCAGUAGCCGGACUGAGAGGUUGACCGGCCACAUUGGGACUGAGACACGGUCCAA
rnacentral:rRNA from 1 species